rnacentral:rRNA from 1 species
GUGCGAUAAGGGGACUCCGAGUGCGAGGGCAUACAGUCCUCGCUAUUGUGUACCGUAGGGUGGUACACGACCAAGAGCUGGGCAAGACCGGUGCCAGCCGCCGCGGUAAUACCGGCAGCUCGAGUGAUGGCCGAUUUUAUUGGGCCUAAAGCGUCCGUAGCUGGCCCUGCAAGUCCGUCGGGAAAUCCACUCGCCUAACGAGUGGGCGUCCGGCGGAAACUACAGGGCUUGGGACCGGAAGACUUGAGGGGUACGUCUGGGGUAGGAGUGAAAUCCUGUAAUCCUGGACGGACCGCCGAUGGCGAAAGCACCUCAAGACGACGGAUCCGACAGUGAGGGACGAAAGCUAGGGUCUCGAACCGGAUUAGAUACCCGGGUAGUCCUGGCCGUAAACGAUGUUCGCUAGAUGUGGCACAGGCUACGUGCCUGUGCUGUGUCGUAGGGAAGCCGAGAAGCGAACCGCCUGGGAAGUACGUCCGCAAGGAUGAAACUUAA